rnacentral:rRNA from 1 species
GACGAACGCUGGCGGCGUGCUUAACACAUGCAAGUCGAACGGAAAGGCCCUGCUUUUGUGGGGUGCUCGAGUGGCGAACGGGUGAGUAACACGUGAGUAACCUGCCCUUGACUUUGGGAUAACUUCAGGAAACUGGGGCUAAUACCGGAUAGGAGCUCCUGCUGCAUGGUGGGGGUUGGAAAGUUUCGGCGGUUGGGGAUGGACUCGCGGCUUAUCAGCUUGUUGGUGGGGUAGUGGCUUACCAAGGCUUUGACGGGUAGCCGGCCUGAGAGGGUGACCGGCAACAUUGGGACUGAGAUACGGCCCAGACUCCUACGGGAGGCAGCAGUGGGGAAUACUGCACAAUGGGCGGAAGCCUGAUGCAGCAACGCCGCGUGCGGGAUGACGGCCUUCGGGUUGUAAACCGCUUUCGCCUGUGACGAAGCGUGAGUGACGGUAAUGGGUAAAGAAGCACCGGCUAACUACGUG